rnacentral:ncRNA from 1 species
AUACUGAUACAGGGCUCUUUUGGGUCUUGUAAUUGGAAUGAGUACAAUUUAAAUCCCUUAACGAGGAACAAUUGGAGGGCAAGUCUGGUGCCAGCAGCCGCGGUAAAUAAAUAUAA